rnacentral:rRNA from 1 species
GACGAACGCUGGCGGCGUGCCUAAUACAUGCAAGUCGAACGCAGUGGGGACGGGUGAGUAACACGUGGGUAACCUCCCAUCAGAGGGGAUAACACUUGGAAAGUGGUGCUAAACCGACACUGAUGGAUGAACCCGCGGUGCAUGAGCUAGUUGGUGAGGUAACGGCUCACCAAGGCCACGAUGCAUAGCGGGUCUGAGAGGGUGAUCGGCUAGACUGGGACUGAGACACGGCGCAGACGCCUAAGGGCGGCAGCAGUAGGGAAUCUUCGGCAAUGGACGAAAGUCUGGCCGAGCAAACGGGAGUGAGUGAAGAAGUUUUUCGGAUCGUAGAGCUCUGUGGUUGGGGAAGAGGUAUCUGACAAGAAAACCGCGGCUAACUACGUGCCAGCAGCCGCGGUAAUAC